CAACUGCGAUAAAUAAUGUGAACUGCAGAUAUUUUGAACAUUGAAAAUUCGAAUGCACAUUGCGCCAUUGGAAUUAUAUCCUUUGGCACAUCUGGCUCAGGGUUGUUAAUAAAAAGCGAUUGCUUCUUCGCUCUCUUGAAUGGCUUGAUCAUGAUUCCAGUCCGAUCGUUGUUCCAGCCAUGUUAGGCUGACAACCCCGGAAAAUUAUCGUGUUUUUGCCCUAUUGUUAACUACCCGGAAUUAGUGGAUGCUAGGUGGUUGGUGGCAGUGGAUCAGCCUCUCGAUUCCAGUCCCCUUCCCACUCCACACACAUUCCUACGGGUUCGAUCUAUCGACCUGAGCUCAGAUGUGAGUACCUGCUGAACUUAA
rnacentral:misc_RNA from 1 species